rnacentral:rRNA from 1 species
AUUGAACGCUGGCGGCAGGCCUAACACAUGCAAGUCGAGCGGAUGAAGGGAGCUUGCUCCUGGAUUCAGCGGCGGACGGGUGAGUAAUGCCUAGGAAUCUGCCUGGUAGUGGGGGAUAACGUCCGGAAACGGGCGCUAAUACCGCAUACGUCCUGAGGGAGAAAGUGGGGGAUCUUCGGACCUCACGCUAUCAGAUGAGCCUAGGUCGGAUUAGCUAGUUGGUGGGGUAAAGGCCUACCAAGGCGACGAUCCGUAACUGGUCUGAGAGGAUGAUCAGUCACACUGGAACUGAGACACGGUCCAGACUCCUACGGGAGGCAGCAGUGGGGAAUAUUGGACGAUGGGCGAAAGCCUGAUCCAGCCAUGCCGCGUGUGUGAAGAAGGUCUUCGGAUUGUAAAGCACUUUAAGUUGGGAGGAAGGGCAGUAAGUUAAUACCUUGCUGUUUUGACGUUACCAACAGAUUAAGCACCGGCUAACUUCGUG